GCUGAGUCAAGAGGAUUCCACAGUGUCCAUGGGGCAAGACUGGACCAAAUUCCCCUAGGAACUUUCAGCCCCUGGUGUCCAGAAUGCUCUGAAAUUUCACAUAUUAAAAAUGAAAUUUAAUCAAGAUCUAGAGAAUGACCGUCCAUCUUCAAAUAGGUGGGGGAUGUGCUGUCCUGUACUGCUGUCCUCAGAGAUGUGACAAACGUCAGCCAGGAUGGUUGGCUCACAUGUAUUCUCCAGAGAGGCUGCAGAGCUGCAUUUCUCAGAGGUCACCAUGGAAUUCUGUGUCCCAGGUCAACUCCAUGAGGACAGGAAUAGGUAUCUGCUGUGUUAUUGCACUCAAGGGCACAGGGCUGCUGCUCCAUAAAAAUCUGGUAAGUGAGGGGUUAGUAAGCGUCUGUGAGUGGGAGUGAGACUUGUCUCUAGCUUAUGCAGCAAUGUGUUGCCCAGUUCUCUGUGCCUUUUGGGGCUACCUCCUGUAUUCUUUGUAUCCACAUUUAGGGAGGCCAGGAGCAGUAGCAAUAUCUACCUUAAUGUGAGCAAUAUCUGUUCUGCUGCCCAGGCUGACUUUGUGGCCCCCAACAUUGAAACCCAAAAAGGGUGUGAUGGCAUCUGCUCUUCUUAUAGGAUCAUGGUCAAUACCGAGAAAAGUAACUGCACCUAGUGUCUCUUCAUGUUUAUUUAUAGAUUUAUGGCACCCACCUGCUCUUCCUAUCCAGGAAGUCCUGUUCUGGGGCCUCUGUCAGGGUGUGCAGUGCAUUUGCCUGCACCUUGCUCGCUGUGCAGCCCUCUGCCAGGCUCUGGGAAUACUGAUUUCCCAUCUGUAAUGAGACAAUGGUGAGCGGUGGAUACAGUGUCCCACCCAUGACUUCUCAGUAGGGUUUUAGGGUAAAGCAAAGACCACACUCCAAAUGGUCCCUAGAGGCUCAUGCCAGAGGGGGCACAAGAGGGGCCCAGGAGAAUAGGGAUUCCCUUACUAAAAGUUCAGUUUCACAAGAGACACUUACAAAUACUAGCAUUAUCAGACCAGCUCAUUAGCUGUGGAGAGGUCGUAUAUAACUCCAUGCAUGAAAAACAGCCCACGAGUCCUGAGACAACCUCCCAUUAUAGAGAUGAGAAAAC
rnacentral:lncRNA from 1 species